UACGUAGGGAGCAAGCGUUGUCCGGAAUCAUUGGGCGUAAAGCGCGCGUAGGUGGCUUCGUAAGUCCGUUGUGAAAGUCAAAGGCUCAACCUUUGAAAGCCGAUGGAUACUGCGGAGCUAGAGUACGGAAGAGGCGAGUGGAAUUCCUGGUGUAGCGGUGAAAUGCGCAGAUAUCAGGAAGAACACCAAUGGCGAAGGCAGCUCACUGGGACGUUACUGACGCUGAGACGCGAAAGCGUGGGGAGCAAACAGG
rnacentral:rRNA from 1 species